rnacentral:misc_RNA from 1 species
UUUCCCGGUAUUCUUUUCAACUCAACUUUGGAGUUCCACUUCCUCAAUUCUUUCCUUUUUCUCUUUUCUUUUCUUGCUCAAGCUUCUUCUCAAAUAAAGUUAACAAGGUCUAAUAAGAAUUUUGGGGACAAAGUGAGGUUUUAAAAAGCUUUGAUCAAGCUUCCAUGGAAGUUAUUUUAAUGGUGAAGUGAAGGAGAGAGGGAGUCGG